AAGUAACUUAACCUGUCCAGAUAGAAUUUCUACUCUACUGCUGAAGACUUGUACAGAGUAUGUGACCCAAGCUUGGGUCCCUAUUUUACAAUAUUAAUUGGACUUCUUGAACAAUUCCAGAGAAAAGUUGUUUUUAAAAAAAAGACUAUUGGCCUGUAGCUUUAUGUCAGAUAAGGUAGGCGGAUACGGGUGCAAUUGCAGUACGAGUUUAUCAUGAAAACACAACCAGACAAAUCCAAAUCGUAAGACAAAGUCAUAACCAAAACCAGGCAAUAAUACUAAAAGGAGAUGUGCAAACUACUCAAAAAGGGAAAAAGCAAAAAAAUAAAAACAGGUAGAGAACAAGAACAGAAAGUGAGAUAAACAACACAUAAUUUAAUAAGCAAGGUGUAAGAACUGUGCAAAAACUGCUGGAAGGGUGCAAUACUUGAUGUGCAAUACUCCUGGGGAUGUGUAAUACUGGAACUGUGAAAUUCCUGGGAUCAUGGAACAGUAUUGAGACUGUGCAAUACUGUGAUUUCACCACUAUGCUAUACUGUGUCCUGUGCAAUACUGAUGGAACUGUGCAAUACUGUGAUUUCACCAUUAUGCUAUACUGUAUUCUGUGCAAUACUGAUGGAACUGUGCAAUACUGAUGGAACUGUGCAAUACUGUGAAUACUGGGCUAUGAAAUAUUAGGAAUGUAUAUAUGUCAGGUUGGCAGGUAGUGGAACUUGUCGUUGUAAGCCAUUAAUGCAUGCUGAGUCCAAGAAAACUAUUUUCUGAUAGGAAAAUAAAGUAUUUCUUUUCUUUGCUUUGUUUUUUCUUUCUUUUCAGGUUUUUUGAAAAGUAUGUUUUGUAUCUCCUGACUGAAUGUACUGUGCAAAUGAUAAAUAAACUUGACGUGAUUUGGCCCUCAUUCCUCUUAUUCUAAUACACUGUUUUGACAUGCAAAUAAGUAUUUGCCUGUGACCACAUUUUCAGCAGUGUAGUAUGUGUCCAUGUUUUAGGUUUAUCACAGGGAAAGGCCACAACCAAAUCCACAAACAAGGGAUUGUCCAGAUAGUAUGUCUGUUAGGCUAUAUAUCCGUCACUCUGCUCACCUGUUUCAUAGCAUCAAGCUGUAAGCCAAAGAUUGUCAGAAAUUCAACAAUCAAAAAGUGUCCAGGUGUCCAGAUUACGUAGUUGUGGUAAGUGAAUUCUUCAAAAAGGUGUGUCCAGAGCUUGUUGAUUUAGAAAUGCUUACAGUAUAUUAGGCUAUAUAUAUACACCUCAAUCUACUGUACGAGAUUCACAACAUCAAGCUGAGAAAGGGAAGGGAGGAGAGAAGAGAAAAGGUAAAUGAAUCACAUGAAAAUGAAUCACAUGUAAAUGAAUCAUAUGAAUAUGAAUCACAUGAACAUUAAUCACAUGAAAAUUAAUCACAUGUAAAUGAAUCACAUGUAAAUGAAUCAUAUGAAAAUGAAUAAAUAAAUUAAAACACGAUAAACAAUUUUAUUGUUUAUUAUUAACCAUUAUCAACCAUUAUUUCAGUAAUAUGUAAAAUUUAAAAAAAUAUGAAAAAUAAAAUGUGUUUUGCCAUGCACUUUUACUG